GUGCUCACUUGGGCAGCACAUAUACUAAGAUUGGAAUGGUACAGAGAUUAGCAUGGUCCCUGUGCAAGGAUUACAGGCAAAUUCAUGAAGCAUUCCAUAUUUAA
rnacentral:snRNA from 1 species